rnacentral:lncRNA from 1 species
ACAAAGCAACUUGCUAUGGACAAAAACUGGCAACUUUGCUGGGGAGAGUCCCAACCAAAUCACAAGUAGGAUAAACUCUGCUCUGGGAAAUAACUGCUGGGGAAUGCUCACAGAUGACGACCUGCAAAACAGAACAACUUUACGGGGGUCCCCUAACAUGGACAAGAUACGCUCAAGUGUCCUCAACAUUCAAAAUGAUUUUCAAAUGCUUUGAUCU